AUUGAACGCUGGCGGCAGGCCUAACACAUGCAAGUCGAACGAGUGGCGGACGGGUGAGUAAUGUCUGGGAAACUGCCCGAUGGAGGGGGAUAACUACUGGAAACGGUAGCUAAUACCGCAUACCAUCGGAUGUGCCCAGAUGGGAUUAGCUUGUAGGUGAGGUAACGGCUCACCUAGGCGACGAUCCCUAGCUGGUCUGAGAGGAUGACCAGCCAGACUGGAACUGAGACACGGUCAAGACUCAUAAGGGAGGCAGCAGGGGGGAAUAUUGCACAAUGGGCGCAAGCAGGAUGCAGCCAUGCCGCGUGGAUGAAGAAGGACUUCGGGUUGUAAAGUACGUUCAGCGGGGAGGCGUUACCCGCAGAAGAAGCACCGGCUAACUCCGUGCCAGCAGCCGCGGUAAUUC
rnacentral:rRNA from 1 species